rnacentral:rRNA from 1 species
GUGCCAGCAGCUGCGGUAAUACGAAGGGGGCUAGCGUUGUUCGGAAUUACUGGGCGUAAAGCGCACGUAGGCGGAUUGUUAAGUGAGGGGUGAAAUCCCAGGGCUCAACCCUGGAACUGCCUCUCAUACUGGCAAUCUAGAGUUCGAGAGAGGUGAGUGGAAUUCCGAGUGUAGAGGUGAAAUUCGUAGAUAUUCGGAGGAACACCAGUGGCGAAGGCGGCUCACUGGCUCGAUACUGACGCUGAGGUGCGAAAGCGUGGGAGCAAACGAGGAUUAGAUACCC